CGACCGGCGCACGGGUGCGUAACGCGUAUGCAACCUACCUUUAACAGGGGCAUAACACUGAGAAAUUGGUACUAAUUCCCCAUAAUAUUCGGAGAGGCAUCUCUCCGGGUUGAAAACUCCGGUGGUUAUAGAUGGACAUGCGUUGUAUUAGCUAGUUGGUGAGGUAACGGCUCACCAAGGCAACGAUACAUAGGGGGACUGAGAGGUUAACCCCCCACACUGGUACUGAGACACGGACCAG
rnacentral:rRNA from 1 species